UUUCUUUUGUGACGACGUGCCUCUCUAAACACCAGCUCUUCUCGUUCUGUCCGUAAAAGACAAAGAAACAUGUCCGACGAAGGAAAACUUUUCGUCGGUGGCCUGAGCUUCGACACAACAGAAGAAUCUCUGGCUGAAGCCUUCGCUAAGUAUGGAAACAUAGCAAAAGUUGAUGUCAUCAGGGACAAAGAAACGGGAAGAUCUCGUGGAUUCGGCUUCGUAAAGUACGAUAAUGCCGAGGAUGCGAAGGAUGCAUUGGAUGGCAUGAACGGCAAGUCAGUUGACGGCAGAACAAUUCGUGUGGACGAGGCAGGCAAGGGUGGUGGUCGUUCUGGAGGCGGAGGUGGUGGAUUCAGAGGGUCCAGAGGAGGCGGUGGUGGAUAUGGCGGUGGAGGUGGAUAUGGAGGGGGGAGAGGAAGAGGUGGGCGAGUUUACUCGCGAGGUGGUGGAGGAUAUGGUGGUGGUGGUGACAGGGGAUAUGGUGAGAGGAGCUAUGGUGGUGGAGACCGGAGCUAUGGCGGUGGUGGCGGAGACCGGAGCUAUGGAAGUGGUGGUGGUUACAGGAGCGGCGGUGGCGGAGGAUACUCUUCCGGUGGCGGAGGAUACAGGGACAAUAGGGGCCAGGGAGGCUACGGGGAUCGCUCUGGGGGAUCCUACAGAGACAGCUACGACAGUUAUGGGUGAGUAACUUUUUGGAGACUGAACUCUCCAGUGUGUCAGAUGGUGAUAAACUGGAGUCUUCUGCAGCAGGUCCAGUGUCUGGAAGUGGUGUGAGCAGCAGUGGAGUGAACACACAACCCAGUACUCUGCAUUGGCCGAGUGGUGUCAAUGCAGUCACUGGUUCCCUGGAGUUUUGGGAAGACAUAUUUUCCCAUCUAAACAUUAUGUAUAGAGAUCCUACAAGCUGCAUCUCUUUGGGGAAACUGCUUUCGGUAGGGUGAUUUGUCUAUGGGACACGAUACUAACAUGUUAUAAAAAAUGUUAAAAAUGAAAAGAUACACUCGUGUUUGUUCAUAGCUCUAGAUGGAUGUAGUCAAUAGUUUCACCUCAUCCAAUAACUAGUAAAUUAACUUUCUGAUUAUAUUUCACCUUUAUUUAACCAGGUAGGCUAGUUGAGAACAAGUUCUCAUUUACAACUGCCACCUGGCCAAGAAAGCAUAGCAGUGUGAACAGACAACAGAGUUACACAUGGAGUAAACAAACAAAUCAAUAGCACAGGAAAAAGGAGACUAUAUACAUUGUGUGCAAAAGGCAUGAGGGAGGUGAAUAAUUACAAUUUUAGCAAAUUAACGAGUGAUAAAUUAUCGGAUGGUCAUGUGCAGGUAGAUACUGGUGUGCAAAAGAGAAGAAAAGUAAAAUACUAUGGGGAUGAGGUAGUUAAAUUGGGUGGGCUAUUUACCGAUGGACUCCGUACAGCUGCAGCGAUAGCAGAUGUUCAAAGUUGGUGAGGGAAAUAACUCCCCAACGAUUUUGCAAUUCGUUCCAGUCAGGCAGCAGAGAACUGGAAGGAAAGGCGGCCAAAUUAGGUGUUGGCUUUAGGGAUGAUUAGUGAGAGACCUGCUGGAGCGCAUGCUACGGGUGGGUGUUGCCAUCGUGAACUGAGAAGACUGAGCUUUACCUAGCAUGGACUUGUAGAUCUGGAGCCAGUGGGUCUGGCGACUAGAGCAUACAGGUCGCAGUGGUGGGUGGUAUAUAAGGUGCUUUAGUAACAAAGCGGAUGGCACUGUGUUAAACUGCAUCCAGUUUGCUGAAUAGAAUAUUGGCAGCUAUUGUGUAAAUGACAUCGCCAAAGUCAAGGAUCGGUAGGAUAGUCAGUUUUACAAGGUUAUGUUUGCCGGCGUGAGUGGAGGCUUUGCUGCGAAAUAGGUAGCCGACUAGAUUUCAUUUUGGAUUGGAGAUGUUUGAUAUGCGUCUGGAAGGAGAGUUUACAGUCCAGCCAGACACCUAGGUACUUAAAGAUGUCCACAUAUUCUGGGUCAACCAUCCAGGGUGGUGAUGCUAGUCGGGCGUGCGGGUGCAGGCAGCAAACGGUUGAAAAGCAUGCAUUUAGUUUUAUUAGCGUUUCAGUUGGAGGCCACGGAAGGAGUGUUGUAUGGCGUUUAAGCUCGUUUGGAGGUUAGCACGGUGUCCAAGGAAGGGCUAGAAGUAUACAGAAGGGUGUUGUCUGCGUAGAGGUGGAUCAGGGAAUCGCCAGUAGCAAGAGCGACAUCUUUGAUAUAUACAGAGAAAAGAGAAGCUGGGGGGGGGGGUGCUGUUGGCCGAAGUUGGAGUAGCCAGGAGGAAGGCAUGGCCAGCCGUUGAGAAAUGCUUGUUGAAGUUUUCAAUUAUCAUGGAUUUAUCGGUGGUGACCGUGUUACCUAGCCUCAGUGCAGUGGGCAGCUGGGAGGCGGUGCUCUUGUUCUCCAUGGACUUUAGUGUCCCAUAACUUUUCUGAGUUAGAACUACAGGAUGCAAAUUUCUGCUUGAAAAAGCUAGCCUUUGCUUUCCUGACUGACUGCGUGUAUUGAUUCCUGACUUCCCUAAACAGUUGCAUAUCGCGGGGACUAUUCGAUGCUAAUGCUGUCCGCCACAGAAUGUUUUUGUGCUGGUCGAGGGCAGUCAGGUCUGGAGUGAACCAGGGGCUAUAUCUGUUCUUAGUUCUGCAUUUUUUGAACGGAGCAUGCUUAUCUAAGAUGGUGAGGAAGUUACUCUUAAAGAAUGACCAGGCAUCCUCAACUGAUGGGAUGAGGUCAAUAUCCUUCCAGGAUACCCGGGCCUGGUGGAUUAGAAAGGCCUGCUCGCAGAAGUGUUUUAGGGAGCGUUUGACAGUGAUGAGGGGUGGUCGUUUGACUGCGGACCCGUAGCAGAUACAGGCAAUGAGGCAGUGAUCGCUUAGAUCCUGAUUGAAGACAGAGGAGGUGUAUUUGGAGGGCCAGUUGGUCAGGAUAAUGUUUGAGGGUGCCCUUGUUUACAUAUUUAGGGUUGUACCUGGUGGGUUCCUUGAUAAUUUGUAAGAUUGAGGGCAUCUAGCAUAGAUUGUAGGGCUGCCGGGGUGUUAAGCAUAUCCCAGUUUAGGUCACCUAACGGAACAAACUCUGAAGCUAGAUGGGGGCCGAUCAAUUCACAAAUGGUGUCCAGGUUACAGCUGGGAGCUAAGGGGGGUCGGUAGCAGGCGGCAAUAGUGAGACUUAUUUCUGGAGAGAUUAAUUUUAAAAAUUAGAAGUUCGAACUGUUUGGGUAUGGACCUGGAAAGGAUGACGUUACUUUGCAGGCUAUCUCUGCAGUAGACUGCAACUCCUCCCCCUUUGGCAGUUCUAUCUUGAUGGAAAAUGUUAUAGUUGGGUAUGGAAAUCUCAGAAUUUUUGGGAGGCGGCUUCUGAUGUUGACAUGCAUGAAACCAAGGCUUUUUCAAUCACAGAAGUCAACAAAUGAGGGUGCCUGGGGACAUGCAGGAUGAGGGUGCGGCCAAAGGCUAUCAAAACUGGUCGCCUAGAGCGUUGGGGACAAAGAAUCAAAUGAGCAGAUUUCUGGGCGUGGUAGAAUAUAUUCUGGGCAUAAUGCACAAACUGGUAUGGUGGGGUGCAGGAACAGCAGAGGUAAGCCCAGGCACUGGGUGAUAACAAGAUAUGUUGUGUCUCUGGACAUGCUGGUUGUAAUGGGUGAGGUCACCGCAUGUGUGGGAGGUAGGACAAAGGAGGUAUCAGAGGUAUGAAGAGUGGAACUAGGGGGUCCAUUGUAAACUAAAACAACGAUAACUAACCUGAACAACAGUAUACAAGGCAUAUUGACAUUUGAGAGAGACAGUGAGGCAUAAAGUAAUCGCGGGUGUUGAUUGGGAGAGUUAGCUAAAACAACAGCUAAUCAGCUAACACAACAGCAGGUAAAAUGGUGAUGACUAGGCAGAGGGGGUCGGAUUAACUACACACAGAGCCUGAGUUGGAGACUGGGGCCGACCGAUUUAAAAACCGAAUGGAGUACUGUGAUUAAUGGACAGUCCAGCAGGCAUCAGCUAUGUAGCCAACUGAUCAUAGUGUCCAGGGGGCAGCAGUAGACUGAACAGGGGAGCCGCCACUACGCUAGCGACACGGCGUUUAGUUAGUAGCCCUGGACUAGUAGGAGCGUCUGCUCCGACGGAGGCCGAAUGAAGGCACAGCGGAUGGAGUAUUCGUCGGCAGACCAGUCGUGGUGGUGCGGCGGGGCGCCGUGUCGACAGAGAAUCCAAGCCACAUGGCGAAAGAGGUAUUGUGGAAUUUAGUUAUGUCUAGUGUCUCUAUGUACAUUUAGUGAUUUAGCAGAUGCUCUUAUCCAGAGUGACUUACAGGCGCAAUUAUGUUGAAGUGCCUUGCUCGGGCAGAUUUUUAAUGUUGGCUCAGGGAUUUGAGCCAACGACCUUUUGGUUACUGGCACUAUGCUCUUAACUGUUACUGUUAAUAAGAUAUAGUGUGAACUUCAAUGAAGUCAGACUGUAACCAAUCCCAUGUUUUAAGGCUAUAAACUCAGCAAAAAAAGUAAUGUCCUCAUUGUCAGCUGUUUAUUUUCAGUAAACUUAACGUGUAAAUAUUUGUAUGAACAUAAGAUUCAACAACUGAGACAUAAACUGAACAAGUUCCACAGACAUGUGACUAACAGAAAUUGAAUAAUGAGUCCCUAAAGAAGGAGGGGGUUUCAAAAUCUAAAUUAACUGUCAGUAUCUGGUGUGGCCACCAGCUGCGUUAAUACUGUGGUGCGGCUCCUUGUGGACUGCACUAGAUUUCUCAAUUCUUGCUGUGAGAUGUUACCCGCUCAAGGCACCUGCAAGUUCCCAGGCGUUUCUGGGGGGAAUAGCCCUCACACUCCGAUGGGAUUGAGAUCCAGGUUCUUCGCUGGCCAUGGCAGAACAUUGACAUUCCUGUCUUGCAGGAAAUCACUCAAAGAAUGAGCAGUAUGGCUGGUGGUGUUAUGCUGGAGGGUCAUGUCAGGAUCAGCCUACAGGAAGGGUACCACAUGAGGGAGGAGGAUGCCUUCCCUGUAAAGAACAGUGUUGAGAUUGCAUGCAACGACAAACUCAGUGCGAUGAUGCUGUGACACACCGCCCCAGACUACGACGGUCCCGCCACCUCCAAAUCGAUCCCGCUCCAGAGUACAGGCCUCGGUGUAACGCUCAUUCCUUCAACGAUAAACGCGAAUCUGACCAUCACCCCUGGUGAGAGAGAACCUCAACUCAUUAGUGAGCACCCUUUGCCAGUCCUGUCUGGUCCAGCAAUGUUGGGUUUGUGCCCAUAGGUGACUGCUGGUGAGGACCUUGCCUUACAACAGGCCUACAAGCCCUCAGUCCAGCCUCUCUCAGCCUGUUGCGGACAGCCUGAGCACUGAUGGAGGGAUUAUGCGUUCCUUGUGUAACUCGGGCAGUUGAUGUUGCCAUCCUGUACCUGUCCUGCAGGUGUGAUGUUCGGAGGUACCAAUCCUGUGCAGGUGUUACACAUGGUCAGCAACUGCGAGGAUGAUCAGCUGUCCGUCCUGUCUCCCUGUAGCUCACAGUUUCACAGUAGGGACAUUGCAAUUUAUUGCCCUGGCCACAUCUGCAGUCCUCAUGCCUCCUUGCAGCAUGCCUAACACGGAACCCAAACUGGCUGCGCGCGUGCGCCAUCGUGCAUGAAUGUAUUUUGUUCCCCUACGCCAAACGCGAUCACGACACGCAGGUUAUAAUAUCAAAACAAACUGAGCCAAUUACAUUUAAUUUGGGGACAGGUUGAAAAGCAUUCAACAUUUAUGGCAAUUUAGCUAGUUUCUAGCUAAUUUGUCCUGGGAUAUUAACAUUGAGUUGUUAUUUUACCUGAAAUGCAUAAGGUCCUCUACUCUGCCAAUUAAUCCACACAUAAAACGGUCAACCAAAUCGUUUCUAGUCAUCUCUCUUUUUUCCAGGCUUUGUCUUCUCUUGACUUUACAUUGCGAUUGGCAACUUUCAUAAAUUAGGUGCAUAACCGCCACUGACCUUGUUCGUCUUUCAGUCACCCACGUGGGUAUAACCAAUGAGGAGAUGGCACGUGAGUACCUGCGUCUAUAAACCAAUGAGGAGAUGGGAGAGGCAGGACUUGCAGCGUGAUCUGCGUCACAAAUAGAAAGGACUUCUUGCCCUUGGCAACGCAGACGCUCGUUGGCUGUGUGCAAUAACUGAAUAACAGAUUUCUACAUUUAUUUUGCGACGGGAGCAGUGUGGUUAGCCUGUAAGGCUUGUUCACACAGAUGAGCGAUGACCCUAGGCAUCUUUCUUUUGGUGUUUUUCAGAGUUGGUAGAAAGGCCUCGUUAGUGUCCAAAGCUUUCAUAACUGAUCUUAAUUGCCUACGUCUGUAAGCUGUUGGUAUCUUAACUGUUCCAAAUGUGCAUGUUUAUUAAUUGUUUAUGGUUUAUUGGACAUGCAUGGAAAACGGUGUUUAAACCCUUUACAAUGAAGAUCUGUGAAGUUAUUUGGAUUUUCAUGAAUUAUCUUUGAAAGACAGGGUCCUGCAAAGGGGACGUUUAUUUUUUUGCUGAGUUUAGGUGGUGUCGGGUUCAUAUAGUCAUGAAAAUGCUGGGAAAGUCAUGGAAUUUUAUCCAGGUGUUUUCCAGGCCUGGAAAGGUUUUGGAAAAUGAUACAAAUAUGAAAAGUAAUGGAAAUUAAUACCUGUUAAUGUAAUUGCUUAAAAUGUUUAAAAAAUGCACCUAUCAACCAAUAAAUCCACAUAUCAGCCAAGAUCAAUAGUGUGUAAGCACACUCGUAGGGUUCGGCUAGCCAAGUUCGGUUAAGACGUCAGCAUGCUACAGUUCGGCUAGCACCUAGCCAAACCAUAAGGGCUGUUUCGUGUCGGCUUACUGGUGUGUUUUGAUAACCGUGUAUACAGUGCAUUCGGAAAGUAUUUGACUCCCCUCAUCAAUCUACACACAAUACCAUGACAAAGCAAAAACAGGUUUUUAGAAAUAUAUUUACAUAAGUAGACACCUGCUUUGGGGAGUUUCUCCCAUUCUUCUCUGCAGAUCCUCUCAAGCUCUGUCAGGUUGGAUGGGAGGCGUUGCUACACAGCUAUUUUCAGGUCUCUCCAGAGAUGUGUUUUUUUUUUGGUUGGAAUUUUUACCCCUUUUUCUCCCCAAUUUCGUGGUGUCCAAUUGUUUUAGUAGCUACUAUCUUGUCUCAUCGCUACAACUCCCGUACGGCUCGGGAGAGACAAAGGUUGAAAGUCAUGCGUCCUCCGAUACACAACCCAAUCUAGCCGCACUGCUUUUUAACACAGCGCGCAUCCAACCCGGAAGCCAGCCGCACCAAUGUGUCGGAGGAAACACCGUGCACCUGGCAACCUUGGUUAGCGCGCACUGAGCCCGGCCCGCCACAGGAGUCGCUGGUGCGCGAUGAGACAAGGACAUCCCUACCGACCAAACCCUCCCUAACCCGGACGACGCUCUGCCAAUUGUGCGUCGCCCCAUGGAACUCCCGGUUACGACAGAGCCUGGGCGCGAACCCAGUCUCUGAUGGCACAGCUGGCACUGCAGUACAGCGCCCUUAACCACUGCGCCACCCGGGAGGCCUCUCCAGAGAUGUUUGAUCGGGUACAAGUCCGGCCUCUGACUGGGACACUCAAGGACAUUCAAAGAACGUCCCAAAGCCACUCCUGCGUUGUCUUGGCUGUGUGCUUAGAGUUGUUGUCCUUUUGGAAAGUGAACCUUCGCCCCAGUCUGAGGUCUUGAGCGCUCUGGAGCAGGUUUUCAUCAAUGAUCUCUGUACUUUUCUCCAUUCAUCCCCACCAUGCUUCACCAUAUGGAUGGUGUCUGGUGUCCUCCAGACGUGACGCUUUGCAUUCAGGCCAAAGAGUUCAAUCUUGGUUUCAUCAGACCAGAGAAUCUUGUUUCUCAUGGUUUAGGUACCUUUUUGACAAAAUCCAUGCGGGCUGUCUUGUGCCUUUUACUGAGGAGUGGCUUCUGUCUGGCCACUCUACCUUAAAGGCCUGAUUGGUGGAGUGCUGCAGAGAUGGUUGUCCUUCUGGAAGGUUCUCCCAUCUCCACAAAGGAACUCUGGAGCUCUGUCAAAGUGAUCAUCGGGCUCUUGGUCAACAGCCCGACGAAGGCCCUUCUCCCCCGAUUGCUCAGUUUGGCCGGGCGGCCAGCUCAAUAUUAGAAUAAGGCUGUAACAUAACAAAAUGUGGAAACGGUAAAGGGGUAGGGAAUACUUUCCGAAUGCACUGUAUCUCUCUUGGACAAGGUGACUUUCAAUAUGAUCACCGACAAUGACGAGACAGCCUAUAGGGAGGAGGUCAGAGACCUGGUCGGGGGGUGCAAGAAUAACAACCUAUCCCUCAACGUAACCAAGACUAAGGAGAUGAUUGUGGACUAUAGGAAAAGGAGGACUGAGCACACCCCAAUUCUCAUCAACAGGGCUGUAGUGGAGCAGGUUGAGAGCUUCAAGUUCCUUGGUGUCUACAUCACCAACAAACUAGAAUGGUUCAAACACACGAAGACAGUCGUGAAGAGCCUAUUCCCCAUCAGGAAACUAAAAAGAUUUGGCAUGGGUCCUGAGAUCCUCAAAAGGUUCUACAGCUGCAACAUCGAGAGCAUAACCGAAAGGUUGCAAGUUCAAAUCCCCUAGCUGACAAGGUACAAAUCUGUCGUUCUGGCCCUGAACAGGCAGUUAACCCACUGUUCCUAGGCCGUCAUUGAAAAUAAGAAUUUGUUCUUAACUGACUUGCCUAGUUAAAUAAAGGUUAAAAAUAAAUAUGCAGUCACUUUAACCAUAUCUACAUGUACAUACUACCUCAAUCAGCUUGACUAACCAAUGUCUGUAUGUAGCCUCGCUACUGUUAUUAUUCACUGUCUUUUUAGUGUUGUUUUUAUUUCUUUACUUACCCAUUGUUCACCUAAUACCUUUUUUGCACUAUUGGAUAGAGCCUGUAAGUAAGCAUUUCAUUGUAAAGUCUACCUGUUGUAUUCGGCGCACGUGACAAAUUUUGAUUUGAACACAGAUAAUUUACUUAACUUAUUAUUACUGUGGCAAUGACGCACCAUAGGUGCGGCUCUUCACAUGCUCUCUCCAGCUCUUCACAUGCUCUCUCCAGCUCUUCACAUGCUCUCUCCAGCUUUUCACAUGCUCUCUCCAGCUCUUCACAUGCUCUCUCCAGCUCUUCACAUGCUCUCUCCAAACUCCUUCCAGUGGAGGGUGCUUUUUUUUCUCUUGUUGAAAUGUUGGCUGUUGCUUUCACACGUUUAAAUGCAUAGGCCCUAUGUGGUAAAUCUAUAUUCCAUCUAAUACUACAAUAAUUGCUAGCAUUUCAUCAUUCCAUCCCGUACCGUUUAUUGCAACAAGUAGGCAUUUCUGUUCCAUGUUUGAUAGGCCUACAUAUACAUUUCCAUUUAGCCAACCAUUUGUUACCCUGCUCUGAGUGGGUGCAAUGUUUAUAGUGCACAUGAAAGUUCGUAAGACUCAUUAGGUAUGUUGGGUACUGGAAUAUACUUAUUCAUGUCAGUGAGGGAGAGAGGGUAAUGUAUAAUGUUUACAUUGUCAGGAUGUGUUAUUGUAAGCUAUCAAAGAUCCUAUGGGAGGGAUCCUCUGGGAGGAGAGGAGACAGUCUGGUACCAGUCACCAUGACAGCUGUGAGUUGGGGAGGAGUCAGCACUUUGGGUCAAGGUCUGGUCAGAUGAAGUGAGGAAGAACAGAUAUCACUAAGGUUUAACAGAGAUGCAUUGGCUGUUCAGAUGUGUAGGAGGAGACUUGGCAUAGGAGAAAGGGUUAAAUAUCAGUGCUUGGGUGAAAAUGUUUUUGUCUGUUCAGCUGUUCAAUCCUUUCCGAAGAAUAAACUUGGUUUACACUUU